rnacentral:rRNA from 1 species
UACAGAGGUCUCAAGCGUUGUUCGGAUUCAUUGGGCGUAAAGGGUGCGUAGGCGGCGCGGUAAGUCGGGUGUGAAAUCUGGAGCUUAACUCCGAAACUGCAUUCGAUACUGCCGUGCUUGAGGACUGGAGAGGAGACUGGAAUUUACGGUGUAGCGUGAAAUGCGUAGAUAUCGUAAGGAAGACCAGUGGCGAAGGCGGGGUCUCUGGACAGUUCCUGA